AUUGAACGCUGGCGGCAUGCUUUACACAUGCAAGUCGAACGGUAACAGGCCGCAAGGUGCUGACGAGUGGCGAACGGGUGAGUAAUGCAUCGGAACGUGCCCAGUCGUGGGGGAUAACGCAGCGAAAGCUGCGCUAAUACCGCAUACGAUCUAUGGAUGAAAGCGGGGGACCGUAAGGCCUCGCGCGAUUGGAGCGGCCGAUGUCAGAUUAGGUAGUUGGUGGGGUAAAGGCUCACCAAGCCAACGAUCUGUAGCUGGUCUGAGAGGACGACCAGCCACACUGGGACUGAGACACGGCCCAGACUCCUACGGGAGGCAGCAGUGGGGAAUUUUGGACAAUGGGCGCAAGCCUGAUCCAGCACUGCCGCGUGCAGGAAGAAGGCCUUCGGGUUGUAAACUGCUUUUGUACGGAACGAAACGGCUCUGGUUAAUACCUGGGGCUAAUGACGGUACCGUAAGAAUAAGCACCGGCUAACUACGUGCCAGCCGCCGCGGUAAUAC
rnacentral:rRNA from 1 species